rnacentral:rRNA from 1 species
CAGCAGCCACGGUAAUACGUAGGUGGCAAGCGUUGUCCGGAAUUAUUGGGCGUAAAGCGCGCGCAGGUGGUUUAAUAAGUCUGAUGUGAAAGCCCACGGCUCAACCGUGGAGGGUCAUUGGAAACUGUUAAACUUGAGUGCAGGAGAGAAAAGUGGAAUUCCUAGUGUAGCGGUGAAAUGCGUAGAGAUUAGGAGGAACACCAGUGGCGAAGGCGACUCUCUGGUCUGUAACUGACGCUGAGGAGCGAAAGCGUGGGGAGCGAACAGGAUUAGAUACCCCUGUAGUCCCUGUCUCUUAUAC